AAGGCAGUAAGCGGUGCGCAGUGUUUACAGAGGAAAGCGCAUCAGUUGUUCCUACCAAAUGGGACCCGCGCUUUCUAGAGAAGUCAAUGACCAUGAAGAGGAAGCAGGAUUGCUUAUUGGCGGCUUUGUGCUUUGUGAACAAACCAUGGUAACACCAGGACCUGACUGUGACUCAGAACUCCAGGGGUCCACAUGAAAGACACCAAGACACCUGAGAAAGGAACAGAAACUAACCAGGAGCCCCCAGGAGCCACUGCUCCGCCCUGUCAUGCCAGGUGGGGCUGCUAACAGCUCCACCCCAGACUUAGAACCUGAUAGGGAGGCUUGCCCUACUGGGCGGGCCUUGGAGAAAAGAAAACCAAUCCUCUAGCCCUU